rnacentral:rRNA from 1 species
AGGGCGGCGAAGCCGUGAGGUGGAGCGAAUCCCAAAAAAGCCGGUCUCAGUUCGGAUUGCAGGCUGCAACCCGCCUGCAUGAAGUCGGAAUCGCUAGUAAUCGCAAGUCAGCAUAUUGCGGUGAAUACGUUCCCGGGUCUUGUACACACCGCCCGUCACACCAUGGGAGUUGGCAACACCCGAAGUCGAUGAGCUAACCUUUUAGGAGGCAGUCGCCUAAGGUGGGGUUGAUAACUGGGGUGAAGUCGUAACAAGGUAAC